rnacentral:rRNA from 1 species
AUUGAACGCUGGCGGCAGGCUUAACACAUGCAAGUCGAGCGGGCGAGGUUGCUUCGGUAACUGAGCUAGCGGCGGACGGGUGAGUAAUGCUUAGGAAUCUGCCUAUUAGUGGGGGACAACAUUCUGAAAGGAAUGCUAAUACCGCAUACGCCCUACGGGGGAAAGCAGGGGAUCUUCGGACAUUGCGCUAAUAGAUGAGCCUAAGUCAGAUUAGCUAGUUGGUGGGGUAAAGGCCUACCAAGGCGACGAUCUGUAGCGGGUCUGAGAGGAUGAUCCGCCACACUGGGACUGAGACACGGCCCAGACUCCUACGGGAGGCAGCAGUGGGGAAUAUUGGACAAUGGGCGGAAGCCUGAUCCAGCCAUGCCGCGUGUGUGAAGAAGGCCUUUUGGUUGUAAAGCACUUUAAGCGAGGAGGAGGCUACUUGGAUUAAUACUCUAGGAUAGUGGACGUUACUCGCAGAAUAAGCACCGGCUAACUCUGUGCCAGCCGCCGCAGUAACAC